GAUGAACGCUGGCGGCGUGCUUAACACAUGCAAGUCGAACGGUGAAGCAGGAGCUUGCUCUUGUGGAUCAGUGGCGAACGGGUGAGUAACACGUGAGCAACCUGCCCCUGACUCUGGGAUAAGCGCUGGAAACGGCGUCUAAUACUGGAUAUGUGAUGUGACCGCAUGGUCUGCAUCUGGAAAGAAUUUCGGUUGGGGAUGGGCUCGCGGCCUAUCAGCUUGUUGGUGAGGUAAUGGCUCACCAAGGCGUCGACGGGUAGCCGGCCUGAGAGGGUGGCCGGCCACACUGGGACUGAGACACGGCCCAGACUCCUACGGGAGGCAGCAGUGGGGAAUAUUGCACAAUGGGCGGAAGCCUGAUGCAGCAGCGCCGCGUGAGGGAUGACGGCCUUCGGGUUGUAAACCUCUUUUAGCAGGGAAGAAGCGAAAGUGACGGUACCUGCAGAAAAAGCACCGGCUAACUACGUGCCAGCCGCCGCGGUAA
rnacentral:rRNA from 1 species